GAUGAACGCUGGCGGCGUGCUUAACACAUGCAAGUCGAACGAAGCACUUUAUUUGAUUUCCUUCGGGACUGAUUAUUUUGUGACUGAGUGGCGGACGGGUGAGUAACGCGUGGGUAACCUGCCUUGUACAGGGGGAUAACAGUUGGAAACGGCUGCUAAUACCGCAUAAGCGCACGGCAUCGCAUGAUGCAGUGUGAAAAACUCCGGUGGUAUAAGAUGGACCCGCGUUGGAUUAGCUAGUUGGUGAGGUAACGGCCCACCAAGGCGACGAUCCAUAGCCGACCUGAGAGGGUGACCGGCCACAUUGGGACUGAGACACGGCCCAAACUCCUACGGGAGGCAGCAGUGGGGAAUAUUGCACAAUGGGCGAAAGCCUGAUGCAGCGACGCCGCGUGAGCGAAGAAGUAUUUCGGUAUGUAAAGCUCUAUCAGCAGGGAAGA
rnacentral:rRNA from 1 species